rnacentral:tRNA from 1 species
AGAAGGUUGGUGUAACUGGAAACACAUUCGCCUGCCAAGCGAAAAAUUGCAGGUUCGAGUCCUGUGCCUUCUU